CCACUGGGGUUUGUAACAGCAGAUCGGUUUGCUGUGCUUUUGAAAGAGGUCUUACAGCAAUGCUUUGAAGCAGGCAUUAAUAUAUAUGGCACAGUCUGUGAUAUGGAUGGUGUUAACAGACGAGCUCUAUCCAUCUUGGGUGCAACUGCAAAUGAACCUAGCAUCACAGUUGAAAAUAGAGAGGUUGUGACUCUUUUUGACGCACCACAUCUACUGAAAUGUUUUAGAAAUUUAUUCCUGAAAAAUGAUAUUGAGUGCAAAACUAAUAUAUCCUCAGAGGACCAGAUAGGAAAAGGUGUUGCCAAGUGGUCACAUAUAAAACAGUAUUAUGAAGUGGACAACUAUAACCCAAACUUCGUGUUUGCUCCUAGCUUGACGAAGGAUCAUCUGAAUCCAAAUUGUAAACAGAAAAUGCGCGUCAAGCUAGCCGCACAAGUGUUGAUCAACAUUGUAAGUGUAGGAAUGUUCGCCAAAAUUUCUAACGGUAUGUUAUAUUUCUUUAUUAUUAUUAUUUUGUGUCCAUGCAACCUGCAGGCGGCCUGAGGAAGCUUUAAAAAGUAUCAGUAGAGUCUUACAUU